CAUGCAGUCGAGGGGUAUAGUUCUUCGGAAUUAGAGACCGGCGCACGGGUGCGUAACGCGUAUGCAAUCUACCUUUCACAGAGGGAUAGCCCAGAGAAAUUUGGAUUAAUACCUCAUAGUAUAGCAGUUUCGCAUGAAACCACUAUUAAAGAUUUAUCGGUGAAAGAUGAGCAUGCGUCCCAUUAGUUAGUUGGUAAGGUAACGGCUUACCAAGACAACGAUGGGUAGGGGUCCUGAGAGGGAGAUCCCCCACACUGGUACUGAGACACGGACCAGACUCCUACGGGAGGCAGCAGUGAGGAAUAUUGGACAAUGGGCGCAAGCCUGAUCCAGCCAUGCCGCGUGCAGGAUGACGGUCCUAUGGAUUGUAAACUGCUUUUAUACGAGAAGAAACACUCCGACGUGUCGGAGCUUGACGGUAUCGUAAGAAUAAGGAUCGGCUAACUCCGUGCCAGCAGCCGCGGUAAUACGGAGGAUCCAAGCGUUAUCCGGAAUCAUUGGGUUUAAAGGGUCCGUAGGCGGUCAGGUAAGUCAGUGGUGAAAGCCCAUCGCUCAACGGUGGAACGGCCAUUGAUACUGUCUGACUUGAAUUAUUAGGAAGUAACUAGAAUAUGUAGUGUAGCGGUGAAAUGCUUAGAGAUUACAUGGAAUACCAAUUGCGAAGGCAGGUUACUACUAAUAUAUUGACGCUGAUGGACGAAAGCGUGGGUAGCGAACAGGAUUAGAUACCCUGGUAGUCCACGCCGUAAACGAUGGAUACUAGCUGUUGGGCGCAAGUUCAGUGGCUAAGCGAA
rnacentral:rRNA from 1 species